GGUGACAUUGUGCCUACAACACCUGGAGUCGAGAGUAUAUUUCCUUCUACUGAAAACAACAUAAAGUUAUCGGAGAAAGGAAUAAGUCAUUCAUUUCCAAAUGGAGCCUCAACUGUAAAACCGUUCUUUGGUUACACGAAAAAAACAUUAGUGACCGUUGUGACUUCUGUUCUGUAUGUUGCUGGAUCCACAGUCGCAACAUCUUCCUUACAACGUCUUUAGAUCUUCGACCUUUGACCUGGUCACCAACUAAGCCUCCACGGAGAACUGGAAAGUUACAACGUUCCUUUUCUUUAAGAUAUUUUCCCUAGUUAAAGCAUCUUAGAAAUAAAUCAAUCGUCUUUUUUUA